rnacentral:rRNA from 1 species
UACGUAGGGGCCUAGCGUUGUCCGGAAUUAUUGGGCGUAAAGAGCUCGUAAGCGGUUCGGCAAGCCGGAUGUGAAAUCUCCACGCUUAACGUGGAGGGGCCAUUCGAAACUGCCGUGACUCGAGUCCGGUAGGGGAGUGUGGAAUUCCCGGUGUAGCGGUGAAAUGCGCAGAUAUCGGGAGGAACACCAGUAGCGAAGGCGGCACUCUGGGCCGGUACUGACGCUGAGGAGCGAAAGCGUGGGGAGCGAACAGG